CUGGGUAGCCACGUUCGGAAGCGAUAACCGCUGAAAGCAUCUAAGCGGGAAGCGCGCCCCAAGAUAAGGUCUCCCACCCCGCAAGGGGCUGAAGGGCCCUCGUAGACUACGAGGUUGAUAGGCUGGGUGUGUAAGCGCCGUGAGGCGUUGAGCUAACCAGUACUAAUCGCCCGUGAGACUUGACCAUAA
rnacentral:rRNA from 1 species